rnacentral:tRNA from 1 species
GGGGAUAAAGCUCAGCUGGUAAAGUGCUUGCCUAGCAUGCACAAGGCCUGGGUUCAAUCCCCAGUACCACCA